UCCCUGCCUACUUGGAGCCUUCUAAAGACUUAUUUUACAGGUUAUACUCAUAUGCUCAUACUGCUUACCCCACCAUGGUGAUUUACGGUGUGGUGAGGAGCUGAAUGCUGAAAGCAGAGAUAAUGCCGGAACCAUCAUCCGUGUGUAAUUAUGACAAUUGACAGGACAUCUCGGACACUGUGGAGAGGACGGGAAUGUUGACUGAACUGCUGCUGGAAAAGAUUAGUGGCAGUAGCACAGGAAGAAGGUGCCAUGUUCUGUGGCAUAAUUGGAUGAUGACACAUUUGAGAAAUGUCAAGCACAUGGCAACAAAAAUCUGCUGACCUUCUUAGACUGACUGAAGCUGUUGGGAGAACCCAGAGAAAUAACUUAAGAUACUUUCAGAUUUAAUGUUUACUUCUAAGCAGCUUCUGGUUUCCACGCAAUUUCCAAACUGAACUUGCUUGAUAUUGACAGGUAAUAUUUUAAUGGAUAGAUUGAUUGGACUGGCACAAUGAAUUAGCCAUCAGCUUGACAACCAUAUAGCAUUAUGUUGUGUAUCUGUUUACUCAGCACUGGGUGAAAUGCAAGAGUCUAUUGAAAAUCAGAUUUCCAUGCUGCUUUGUCAAAGCAAAUUUAAUCACAGCUAGAACAUGUGGCAUCCAUCAUUUCCACUUCAGAAGGCAUCAACAGGCACAGAUCAGCAACAACAAGCACUGUUGCCACCGCUGUCUUUGACUCACAUGGAAAAUUAAAUUUAACCAUAGAUUUUUGAUAAAUGAGGUAGUCUCACUCAUCAAAUAUGAUUACUUAAGUGUUCUCUGUUAAAGUAAUCCCAAAUAGCUUUGUGUCUAGAAGCAAGGUCUUACUCCAUUUGGCUUUGAGUUACUCCUCCUGAUGUGGGGUAGGCUUUUGAAUAUCACCUUUGCAGAUGAGGCACUGCUUUCUCUUUGUUUUUCUUAGAAACUCCAGAUCUUCCAGGCUGCCUAUUUUUACGUGUGUUUUACUCACCAUCUCAGCCAUGUACUGUAAUUUAUUCUGUGUUUUUCUCUGGUAUUUCAAAUUCAUGUCUUUCUGCUCUCAUGGAGGUAGUACAAUGGGUAGCAAACUUGCAGCAUAUUGCUAAGAAAUACCAAGGUAACUGCAGGAUUGAAACAAUACACAGAAGGUGUGAAAAUGAGACCAAUUACUUUGUUCAUGCCUCAUGUAUGGUAGAGAGUACUUGAAGUAUUCAGAUUUAGAAAAAACUUUGAAAAACAUUGUAUUAGUUCUGAAUAUUUUAUCUUAAAAUGUUUAAUCUUCUUUAAUUUCUCAUUGAAAACUUCAGAUUAAUAGCUAAUCAAUAUCUUUUUGGUGAUCUUUUCUAUUCUCCUUCUACUUUCAUUGUGAAUGGCCAAGCAUGUGUUUUGUAACACUGCUGUUUAUUGCUAUUAUUCUUGUUAAAUUUUAAUCUGAUGUGUUACUGCCUCAGUAACAGUCCAAAGCCUUUUUCUUCUAGACACAAAGAUAACAGUACAAUUUUUCUAAUUCCUGUUAAUUGAGCUAUGAUUCUUUAAAAUUGUCUCUUGUCUUAUGCUAUCUCUUGUAAUGUUUUAAAAAAAAAUUAUGACGUUAAUCGAGCGAAACUGGUAGUCACUGUUAGGUCUUCUGAAAAUUGUUUCACAUUUACUGUUUUGAGUUACAGUACUGCUUCAGAGGUAUUUUGCUUAUAGACUGUGUUCAGAUAAUAAUGCUUCUGUGCUGCUAUGUUUCCUCAAGCAUCAAUAUUUAGUUGUUUAUAAAUAUUUUUCUACUUCCAGUACAAUUCCCAAAUUGGUUUCCUUCAUACUGGUAUCAAUUUUUGAGUCAAAUAUCUGAAUCUUUUUUUCCUCUUUCUUUGAGAUAAAAUCUUUCUUUUAUGUCUCCACCAUCAAC